GAUGAACGCUAGCGAUAGGCCUAACACAUGCAAGUCGAGGGGCAGCAUAGAGUAGCAAUACUUUGAUGGCGACCGGCGCACGGGUGAGUAACACGUAUGCAACCUACCUACAUCAGGGGAAUAACCCGGAGAAAUUCGGACUAAUACCGCAUAAUACAGGGAUGCCGCAUGGCAAUAUUUGUUAAAGAUUUAUCGGAUGUAGAUGGGCAUGCGUUCCAUUAGCUUGUUGGUGAGGUAACGGCUCACCAAGGCAACGAUGGAUAGGGGAACUGAGAGGUUUGUCCCCCACACUGGAACUGAGACGCGGACCAGACUCCCACGGGAGGCAGCAGUGAGGAAUAUUGGUCAAUGGACGAGAGUCUGAACCAGCCAAAUCGCGUGAAGGAAGACUGCCCUACGGGUUGUAAACUUCUUUUGUACAGGAAUAAAAGACAUUACGUGUAAUGUAUUGCAUGUACUGUACGAAUAAGCAUCGGCUAACUCCGUGCCAGCCGCCGCGGUAA
rnacentral:rRNA from 1 species